CCUGGGCACCCACACCACAACCUGCUUUCUCGUGCUGGUUGUCUUGACUUGAGCAAAAAACGGGUUGCAAGAAUAUUCUGAGAACGGACAGCGACUGAAAUAGCCUGCCCUUUGGUGGAUCCCCGCUCAGAACUCAAGCUGGUUUUAGCUCAUCUUGUGCCAUUACAGAGAGAACAUAUCUGACUGGUUCCACCCAUAUGGGCAGUCCAGAUCUGAUAUGCCAGCAAGUUCCCUCUGCACAAGAGACACAGCAACCCCAGACGAUCGUUUCAGCCUUGUUAGGCAUCAUCAGUGAAGCAUAGCUGAUAUCUCUCUAAGCACCGUGAGCAAGGGGUCCACGUCUGGAUUACCCUUUAAACUUAUAGAGAGCAAAAAACGGGUCGCAAGAGUAUUCUGAGAAUGGACAACGA